rnacentral:rRNA from 1 species
CCUACGGGAGGCAGCAGUGGGGAAUAUUGCACAAUGGGGGGAACCCUGAUGCAGCAAUGCCGCGUGGGUGAAGAAGCACUCCGGUGCGUAAAGCCCUGUCAGCAGGGAAGAAAAUGACAGUACCUGGCCAAGAAGCCCCGGCUAACUACGUGCCAGCAGCCGCGGUAAUACGUGGGGGGCAAGGGUUAUCCGGAUUCACUGGGAGGAAAGGGGGCGUGGGGGGCCAUGCAAGCCAGGGGUGAAAGCCCGGGGCCCACCCCCGGGACUGCCCUUGGAACUGCAUGGCUGGAGUGCGGGAGGGGCAGGCGGAAUUCCUGGUGUAGCGGUGAAAUGCGUAGAGAUCAGGAGGAACACCGGCGGCGAAGGCGGCCUGCUGGACCGCGACUGACGUUGAGGCUCGAAAGCGUGGGGAGCGAACAGGAUUAGAUACCCUUGUAGUC